UUUUGUACCCGAAAGGGGUAUAGGGUGUCCCAAGUCACCGGUUUAAAAUCUUGAAUCGAGGAAGUUUGAUUAUGUUUUACUGUCUGCGGAACACAAAAAUUCAGAUAAGAAUUUCUGUUACCCAAGAGAAGGUGUAAGGUAUUCUCGGGUUCCGUAGUUUUAACAUGGUCGCUCAACUAUUAUUAUUGGCCUAAUUAUCUGAUUAAUAACAUGUUUUAUACCUAUUGAAUUUUUAGUCUUUGACCGCUUUUAAUUAGUUAUUGAAUUAUUAUGGAAUAAGUUACGAUUGUCGUAUACUUGUUUGUUUGGUACAUAUUGCGAAUCGUGUCAUGGGAAUUGUACCCACGAUCUAC
rnacentral:lncRNA from 1 species